AACGGAAUCAGAGGUGCGCACGCAUCGUGUACCGCGGCGGAGGAUGGCUUCCGCAGAGGCCGCGGGAAGGGGUGGUGCGCCGAAAGGCAGGGCAAACGAAGCCGCAGACCCUGUGCUUGGGCGCGGGCCGGACAGGUUCGUGACUGUCAUCGGGCAAAAUAAUCCCCGGCGGAGCGCUGAUUCACUG
rfam:Clostridium sp. CAG:226 genomic scaffold, scf231